UACGGGGGGCGCAAGCGUUGUUCGGAUUUACUGGGCGUAAAGGGCGCGUAGGCGGCCACCGCAAGUCGACUGUGAAAUCUCCGGGCUUAACCCGGAAAGGUCAGCCGAUACUGCGGGGCUAGAGUGCAGAAGGGGCAACUGGAAUUCUCGGUGUAGCGGUGAAAUGCGUAGAUAUCGAGAGGAACACCUGCGGCGAAGGCGGGUUGCUGGGCUGACACUGACGCUGAACUGCGAAAGCUAGGGGAGCGAACGGG
rnacentral:rRNA from 1 species